AGAGUUUGAUCAUGGCUCAGGAUGAACGCUGGCGGCGCGCCUAAUACAUGCAAGUCGAACGGAGUGUGUUCUCGUAACGCACUCAGUGGCGAACGGGUGAGUAACGCGUAGGUGACCUACCCCGAAGAGGGGGAUAACAGCCCGAAAGGGCUGCUAAUACCCCAUGUGGUUCUGUGGGUUAGAGGCCGCAGAACUAAAGGCGUAAGCCGCUUCGGGAUGGGCCUGCGUCCCAUCAGCUAGUUGGUAGGGUAACGGCCUACCAAGGCGAUGACGGGUAGGGGGCCUGAGAGGGUGGCCCCCCACACUGGCACUGAAACACGGGCCAGACACCUACGGGUGGCAGCAGUAGGGAAUAUUGGGCAAUGGGCGAAAGCCUGACCCAGCGACGCCGCGUGCGCGAUGAAGGCCUUCGGGUUGUAAAGCGCUUUUGGAGGGGAUGAGGAAGGACAGUACCCUCCGAAUAAGCCUCGGCUAACUACGUGCCAGCAGCCGCGGUAAAACGUAGGAGGCGAGCGUUAUCCGGAUUUACUGGGCGUAAAGCGCGUGUAGGCGGUCCGGCAAGUUGGAUGUGAAAUCUCUCGGCUCAACCGGGAGAGGUCGUUCAAUACUGCUGGGCUAGAGAGCGGUAGAGGGGGGUGGAAUUCCGGGUGUAGCGGUGAAAUGCGUAGAUAUCCGGAGGAACACCAGUGGCGAAGGCGGCCCCCUGGACCGUCUCUGACGCUCAGACGCGAAAGCUAGGGGAGCAAACGGGAUUAGAGACCCCGGUAGUCCUAGCCGUAACGAUGUGGACUUGCCGUUGGUGGAUAAAAUCCAUCAGUGCCGAAGCUAACGCGAUAGUCCACCGCCUGAGACUACGGCCGCAAGGCUAAAACUCAAGGAAUUGACG
rnacentral:rRNA from 1 species